AUUGAACGCUGGCGGCAGGCCUAACACAUGCAAGUCGAGCGGAUGAGAAGAGCUUGCUCUUCGAUUCGGCGGCGGACGGGUGAGUAAUGCCUAGGAAUCUGCCUGGUAGUGGGGGACAACGUUUCGAAAGGAACGCUAAUACCGCAUACGUCCUACGGGAGAAAGCAGGGGACCUUCGGGCCUUGCGCUAUCAGAUGAGCCUAGGUCGGAUUAGCUAGUUGGUGAGGUAAUGGCUCACCAAGGCGACGAUCCGUAACUGGUCUGAGGAUGAUCAGUCACACUGGAACUGAGACACGGUCCAGACUCCUACGGGAGGCAGCAGUGGGGAAUAUUGGACAAUGGGCGAAAGCCUGAUCCAGCCAUGCCGCGUGUGUGAAGAAGGUCUUCGGAUUGUAAAGCACUUUAAGUUGGGAGGAAGGGCAGUAAGUUAAUACCUUGCUGUUUUGACGUUACCGACAGAAUAAGCACCGGCUAACUCUGUGCCAGCAGCCGCCGUAAUAC
rnacentral:rRNA from 1 species